GAUAGGCUUGCUCCUUUGUUCUAGCGGCGGACGGGUGAGUACACGUGGGUACCUACCUAUAAGACUGGAAUAACUUCGGGAAACCGGAGCUAAUGCCGGAUAACAUUUGGAACCGCAUGGUUCUAAAGUAAAAGAUGGUUUUGCUAUCACUUAUAGAUGGACCCGCGCCGUAUUAGCUAGUUGGUAAGGUAACGGCUUACCAAGGCAACGAUACGUAGCCGACCUGAGAGGGUGAUCGGCCACACUGGAACUGAGACACGGUCCAGACUCCUACGGGAGGCAGCAGUAGGGAAUCUUCCGCAAUGGACGAAAGUCUGACGGAGCAACGCCGCGUGAGUGAUGAAGGUUUUCGGAUCGUAAAACUCUGUUAUUAGGGAAGAACAAAUGUGUAAGUAACUGUGCACAUCUUGACGGUACCUAAUCAGAAAGCCACGGCUAACUACGU
rnacentral:rRNA from 1 species